rnacentral:rRNA from 1 species
GACGAACGCUGGCGGCGUGCUUAACACAUGCAAGUCGAACGCUGAAGCUCAGCUUGCUGGGUGGAUGAGUGGCGAACGGGUGAGUAACACGUGAGUAACCUGCCCUCUUCUUUGGGAUAACGCCCGGAAACGGGUGCUAAUACUGGAUAUUCACUGAUUCUCGCAUGGGGGUUGGUGGAAAGGUUUUUUCUGGUGGGUGAUGGGCUCGCGGCCUAUCAGCUUGUUGUUGGGGUGAUGGCCUACCAAGGCUUUGACGGGUAGCCGGCCUGAGAGGGUGACCGGUGAAAUUGGGAAGGAGAAACGGGACAGAGUAAUACGGGAGGCAGCAGUGGGGAAUAUUGGACAAUGGGCGAAAGCAUGAUGCAGAGACGACGCGUGAGGGAUGGAGGACUUCGGGUUGGAAACCUCUUUCGAUAAUGGUAAAGCAGCAGAUUUGGGUUGUGGUGAGGGUAGUGGGUAAAGAAGCGCCGGCUAACUACGUG